rnacentral:rRNA from 1 species
GCUUGUCUCAAAGAUUAAGCCAUGCAUGUCUAAGUAUAAACAAAUCUAUACUGUGAAACUGCGAAUGGCUCAUUAUAUCAGUUAUAGUUUAUUUGAUGGUCCUUGCUACUUGGAUAACCGUAGUAAUUCUAGAGCUAAUACAUGCAUCAGACCCCGACUGUUUGGAAGGGGUGUAUUUAUUAGAUGGAAACCAAUGCGGGUUUACCCGGAUUCAGGUGAUUCAUAAUAACUUUCGGAUCGAUCUUCGGAUCGAUGCAUCAUUCAAGUUUCUGCCCUAUCAGCUUCGGACGGUAGUGUAUUGGACUACCGUGGCUUUAACGGGUAACGGAGAAUUAGGGUUCGAUUCCGGAGAGGGAGCCUGAGAAAUGGCUACCACAUCCAAGGAAGGCAGCAGG